UACGGGGGGGGCAAGCGUUGUUCGGAAUUACUGGGCGUAAAGGGCGCGUAGGCGGAUGGCACAGUCAGAUGUGAAAUUCCCGGGCUUAACCUGGGGGCUGCAUUUGAUACGUGUUGUCUAGAGUGAGGAAGAGGGUCGUGGAAUUCCCAGUGUAGAGGUGAAAUUCGUAGAUAUUGGGAAGAACACCGGUGGCGAAGGCGGCGACCUGGUCCUUGACUGACGCUGAGGCGCGAAAGCGUGGGGAGCAAACAGG
rnacentral:rRNA from 1 species